rnacentral:rRNA from 1 species
UAGGGAAUCUUGGACAAUGGGCGAAAGCCUGAUCCAGCCAUGCCGCGUGAGUGAAGAAGGCCUUAGGGUUGUAAAGCUCUUUCGCCAGGGAAGAUAAUGACGGUACCUGGAUAAGAAGCCCCGGCUAACUUCGUGCCAGCAGCCGCGGUAAUACGAAGGGGGCUAGCGUUGUUCGGAAUUACUGGGCGUAAAGCGCACGUAGGCGGCUUUCCAAGUUGGAGGUGAAAUCCCCGGGCUUAACCCGGGAACUGCCUCCAAAACUGAAAGGCUAGAGUCCGAGAGAGGUGAGUGGAAUUUCCAGUGUAGAGGUGAAAUUCGUAGAUAUUGGAAAGAACACCAGUGGCGAAGGCGGCUCACUGGCUCGGUACUGACGCUGAGGUGCGACAGCGUGGGGAGCAAACA